UUAAAUGGCAAAGAUAACUAAAAAGUCUUCUUCUCCCAGAACUUAUGUAAGGAAAAGCCCAUAAUUUCUGUUUCCAUUUCCCACAGAGGGAACCUACCAAUGAUGGCAGACACUGGUGCGGAUGUGACAAUCCUCUCCAAGGCAAAGUGGCCCCGCGACUGGGAGUUGGGCCCCCUUGUGGCACAAUCUCUGGUAUCGAGGAAGCUGUCUAUUCGAUGAGAUCCAAACAUGUGUGCAUCAGAGCAUGCAUGACCCAUUUGGAGAUGUGAUGGCCACCCUGGUAAUACCUCCCAGGAAACCCCAGACCGCUGUGAGAGCUGCUGCCAUCACCAUCAUCCUGUUACACAUCCAAACAGCAGCCAGGUGGAUUGUACCGCAGCUGAAGAAAAACAUAUAGAUGACACUUGCAAAAGCCCUCAAACAGAAGAACUUCUGUCAGACCAUGGGAAGCGUGAAUGACCUAUUGUCAAUGUGCCUGGUGGGAAUCCCCUGUCACCAAAUGAUUAGCCCUGUACAGGUUGCUGCUGUGAAG